AACACAUGUUCCAUGUCAUGAGUGCAGGCAAACAGAUGUUACAGGAGCGUGUAAGGAAGGCUGUCACUAAGGGCAAGCUAACACCAAAGGGCAAUUCCUCAUGAACUCCCUGUGUGGAUGAUCCUACCACAUGUGAAAGGAGUCUGUAUGUUAGGUAAAACUGUCAGGGUCUGGAUGGUACCAAUAGGCCUUAAAUACCCUGAGUGGUCUCACCUGGGGUCCCCACCCACACCCUCUCCCCAGGGGCUCCAUUUAAGCUCAGCCUAGGCCAUCCAUUCCUUUUCUGAGCUGUGUUGUAGGUAUGCCUCUCUCUUGCUCUGUCUCUGCCCUCAUCUUAUGGAUGGACUUCAGACUUAUCCUGCAGCCCCUGCUCCUGACUAGACUCUCUGGAUGGACCUGAUUCCUCACUUUACCUCAUCCAGAGCUGUGGAUGGACCCUGUUUCCAGCACCCAACUCUGCUGGCCUUGCUCAGCAUUGUGUGUUCCUGCUGUCAUCCAGCUCUGAAGCUCCCUGCAUCUUCAAGAUUAUGACUUUUUAUCUUUGGAAGUCCAGUGACAGGCAAUGAGCCAUAGCCUGGUGACUCCAGACUCAAGCACUUCCCUUUGAUGUGAAGGCCUGGGCCUAGUGGCGUCGUAGAUUAAACUUCACCUGCUUUUUCAACAGGACGAGGCAAGUUUGUUUCUGUACUGUGCUUUCUUUUCCGGAUAUGGUGGUAUGCAGCAGCCGUCACCACUGUGCAAGCGAUGUAUCACUGUCAGGACAUAUCCAGCAGCCUCUGGCCUCAGGAGUGAUCCUGCAGGGUGGUUUUGUCCAGGGAUGGAACUACCCAGCUCCUGUAGCUGUUCUGGCCUUGCAGACACUGGAGCGGCCAGGAACAGCCUUGGGAGUGGGCAAGUGGACUCUGCCCACUGGCUUCCACCUCAUCCUGGCUGCCAUGUUGAGCUUGCACAUCCCCCGUGUAAUAGCAUUAGUAGCUGUAGCAAAGAGUGUUCUUCAACUUUUCCUAGCUCUGCCCGGCUCCUGUGCUCAGUUUCUUAUGCAGGGUUGGCCAUUAUUUUCUUCUAUUCUGAUGUAUAUUUAUUUUUAUAAGGCGAGAAGUGGGUGACAUGUUUGUGGUUAUUAAGUAAGGCACUGAUAGGAAGAGAGAGACUGAAAAGCCAGGCUGCUCCUCAGAGCUCUGACAAUGCUCUCCCAGUCUCCUCUGAGCUAUUUUCUGCUGCUUUAGCCCUCUCCACCAACACAGGCUUGCAGCUCUGAAAUCCUACGCUGAGCAGCCUCACCAGCAGCUGCCAACCUGACCUGCAGCCCUUGGUGUCAGUGAUUCAGUAAGGUGUGCCGUGUGGAUCUGGAAAUCUAGUCCUGGCGAUGGGAAGUGGUUUUUGGAGCAUCCCUGCCAGGGCCUGGGAAUGUGGAAGUACCAUUGACAAGAGGUGGUGUAGUCAGUUUGUACAUAGCUAGAGGUACUUGUUCUGGGACACUGCUGACCUUUUGGAAGUCUUUUAGAGUAGAUCCUUCUCUGGUUUUGCAUUCACCAACUGCUCUCCCCGAUAUAUCCUUGCUAAUCUUCCACUGAGCAGAAAGACAGGCAGUUCAGGACAUGGCGUAUGAAUGACUUGGAAAAUGUGAAUAAACAGCAUGUCUGCAGCUUUCUUGUGAUGCAUCUGACUUCUGACCCCAGGAAGUCACCGGCUAAAAAGACUGGUUCAUUUGUCUGUUAUUUCAUUUUUUUCUAUCUGCUCUGCUGUACUCGUCUCUCUUGCUGUACUAAACAACCAGCAAAAACAGUGAGGUUGUAAUAUCCCACACCAGGACUAUUUUCUAA